AUAUCAAUAAGCGGAGGAAAAGAAACUAACGAGGAUUCCCCUAGUAACUGCGAGUGAAGCGGGAAAAGCUCAAAUUUAAAAUCUGGCGGUCCUUGGCCGUCCGAGUUGUAAUUUAGAGAAGCGUCUUCCGCGCCGAACCGUGCACAAGUCUCCUGGAAUGGAGCGUCAUAGAGGGUGAGAAUCCCGUCUUUGGCACGGAAUCCCUGGUGCUUCUGUGAUGCGCUCUCGAAGAGUCGAGUUGUUUGGGAAUGCAGCUCAAAAUGGGUGGUGAACUCCAUCUAAAGCUAAAUAUUGGCGAGAGACCGAUAGCGAACAAGUACCGUGAGGGAAAGAUGAAAAGCACUUUGGAAAGAGAGUGAAACAGUACGUGAAAUUGUUGAAAGGGAAACGCUUGGAGUCAGUCGCGUCGGCCGAGACUCAGCCUCGCCCUCGGCUUGGUGUACUUCUCGGCUGACGGGCCAGCAUCAAUUUUGCCCCUCGGAUAAUGGCAGGGGAAAGGUGGCACCUUUGCGGGUGUGUUAUAGUCUCCCGUCGCAUGCGAGGGGUGGGAUUGAGGAACUCAGCACGCGCCUCUCGGCUCGGGGCUUCGGCCCACGUUACGUGCUUAGGAUGUUGGCAUAAUGGCUUUAAGCGA
rnacentral:rRNA from 1 species